rnacentral:piRNA from 1 species
CAUUUGGAGUCUCAUCCACGC